GCACCUUUGUUGGUGUAUGACUUAGAAACCACAGGACUUAGUAGAUCAUCUGAUAUUAUACAACUUGCAGCUUAUUCAAAGGACAGCACUUUUGAUACAUACAUCUUGCCAAGCCAACCAAUAGCAAAGGAAGCCACCAACAUUACAAAGAUCACAGUGUGUGGAAACAAUAUGCUGUACAAUUCAAAACCAGUCAACUUUAAAUAUCCAUAUCAAGCUCUUACUGAUUUUAUUACAUUUCUGUCAGAAUUUUCAUGCAAACCAAUUCUUGUUGGUCAUAAUAUAAAAAGAUUUGACUGUCAUAUUUUAUACAAUGCAUUAAGAUUUUAUAACAUGUA